ACUAUGGAAAAUGCACAACUGACAAGCAAUUAUACAUGCUGAAUAAUUGUCAUUGUCAUGAUCCAGCCAAGUCAAAAAUGAGGACUUUUUUUUUUUUAAUAAAAACUCUGGUUGACAUCUAGUAUAGCAUCACAGUAUUUAAGUAUGUGAGUAAGGAAGAGGUUCAAGGAGUUACACUCUUGUACUGACCAAUUACUAAAUGAUUCUUGUCAGAUUUUUUUGUGUGACUUAUUUUCUAGGUUUCCAAAUGUGCCUCACCACCUCUAAGGGGAAUGACCCAUGUGGUUAAAUCUGGAAGUCCCCAAAUAUCAGUCGCUUUUUAUAGCUAAAAAUAUACCAUGAGAAGAGCAAGCCAUUGGUAUAUUAUGAAAUCUGUUAUUCAUUCAGUUUUAGUAGUAAGCAAAUGACAAUUGCAGGAUCCAUUGGGGAGCCCUAGAGCCCUGAAUCUGGACUCCUGAUGUGAAGAGAAUCAUUAUGAUGGAGGUGGUGCAAGUUCAUACUGCCUGAUCCCAGAGUGCACAUGCCACAAGAACUUCUACCCAGUGUGCCAAGACAAAGGAAAAAUGUUUCUACUUCAUCCACUUAACCUAAAGAAUAUUGUAACACAAUAUUCAACAAUCUCCACUGAAUACCCAGGAACCAGACAGUGCAUUGGGUCCUUGUUGUAUAGACAUGAAUUGAUUUCUUCCUUGCCUAGUUCAGAAAGCAAGUGAACAGAUAGCAAGUGAGCAAGUACACUGAAGUGCAGAACCAGGAAGCUGCUGUCAGCUAUGUGCAGGAACAGUGCACAUAGGAGAUGGAAGAGGGGAUCACAGUGGUCUCAGAGCUGAUUUUUAAGAUGCAGUGUUGAAUUGUGU